GGAAUGGUGAUCCAUGUGUUCCCCGGCAACAUCCUUGGAGUGGAGUGGACUGCCAGUUCGACAGAGUUAGUGGCAAAUGGAACAUAGAUGGAUUAGGUUUAGAGUCUUUAGACAACCAAGGUCUAAGAGGUCUCUUGCCAGAAGACAUAUCUAAGCUGCAUCAUUUGCAAAGCAUAAACUUGAGCGGGAACAGUAUACAAGGGCAAAUUCCCCAUUCUCUUGGUACUAUAAGUGGGUUGCAGGAAUUGAAUCUAAAUGGAAAUUCUUCGUCUGGAAGAGUUCGUGCUACUCUUGGAGGAAGGCCUCUACAUGGAGCUAGUUUCAAGUUAAGAUCUUAUGGGAAUUAACGAGUUUGGUUGAAACCCAUGGUGAGGAAACAUCAGAACUAAGGCAACAAGCUUAUGUAGCAGCAAGGGGUUUAGAGACUCGUGGUAGAGUUCGUGGUUAUGGAAGAGGGGUGACGCCAGAAAUGAUUCCUUGGGUGGCACAAACUCAGCCAACAUCUUCAUCAUUUCGAUCACGUACUGAGCGAGCAUAUGCUAAUUUGCAAUCUCAAUAUUCAGAAAUUGAGGAAAAGUAUGAGCGACAGCAAAAGGAGUUGGAUGAGUUGAAACAGAUGAUCACUUCAGGGAACGCACAUCCGCAUCAACAAUCUUCCUCCCAACAACAGUCUAACUCCCAGCAGCGGUCUCCAUCCUAACAACAGUCACCUUCCACCGUAUCAGCAUCUUCCAUUGUAUCUUCCACCGACAUCGUACCUAUAUCCUCUAUAUCAGCAUCUUCCACCGUAUCCGUAUACAUCAUAUUCGCAGUUCUACUACCCCCAUCCAUACCAGCCACCUUUGUACCACCCAGUGCCACACUCACCUGGAGAGUUUACAACAAUGCUCAAUGAUUCAGAGUUUAUACAGCAGAUGAUGUCCCCAAAUGAUUGGAAUGACAGGGAUAAAAAUUAGAUAUUUUUACAUUCAUGUUGAAGGUCAACUUUGUUGGUUAUUUAAGUUAUUGUUAAGUAAUAUUUGUCAUACGCUUUUUAAGC